rnacentral:rRNA from 1 species
GCCAAACCACCCUGAAUGUGCCUGAUCCCAUCUGAUCUUGGAAGCUAAGCAAGGUCGGGCCUGGUUAGUACUUAGAUGGAAGAAAAGCAUUUCCAGGCACAAAAAAUG